UACGAAGGGGGCUAGCGUUGCUCGGAAUCACUGGGCGUAAAGCGCACGUAGGCGGGCUCUUAAGUCGGUGGUGAAAUCCUGGAGCUCAACUCCAGAACUGCCUUUGAUACUGAGGAUCUUGAGUUCGGGAGAGGUGAGUGGAACUGCGAGUGUAGAGGUGAAAUUCGUAGAUAUUCGCAAGAACACCAGUGGCGAAGGCGGCUCACUGGCCCGAUACUGACGCUGAGGCACGAAAGCGUGGGGAGCAAACAGG
rnacentral:rRNA from 1 species